ACAAUCUCGACAAUUAAAAUAAUUUUUAGCCAAAAGCAAAAAAUCGGCCAACAAAGCCAUAAUAGAGCAAAAUCAAAAAGCACAUAAAUUGCUCAAUUCCGAGAGAACAAACCCAGAAAAUAGAAAAGCUCUUACUCAGCAAUAAAACCAGAAAAAACUCGAAUCCAGAAAACCCAGGAUCAACCAUCAAUCAAACCUAUCAACAAUUUUCCGCACCCAAAAAAGAACUUGCACCUAACUAACUCACAAACCCCAAUAAAAAAAUCCAAAAUCAAUCCAUCUACAUCAACACAUCAUCAAGAUCAAAUAGAGGUAGGACACAGAAGUGAAAGAUCAAUUAAGCACACAAUAGAUAAAACCACAACAGAAUGAUUUUUUUUCUUUGGUAGUAGGCUUGUCUAAGAUUUUGGGGUUUAUUUUUUAAGGAGUAUUCUUUAUGAUCUUUAGGCUAGAGAGAAGGGAAGUUUCUUGGCUAUUUCAAUGAUGAUCAGAGUUGUUUUUUGAUAGCGGCAAAGGUAGUGGGUUGUGACCAGCUCUUGGGUUAUUGAAUUCUGUUGAUUUGGUGUUGUUCUUGAAAGUUUUAAGGUGGUUGAGAAGUUUAAACAGAGAAUGCGGUGACUGUUCUUAGCUGAGGUUUCAAGCAGAAAAAGCCAAGGGAGGAAAAUGGUUUGCAAAAGGAAAAUGAGGAUGGGAGAAUUGACAAAGGUUUUUGGGUUCUUCGGCAUCAGCACCGACAAGAGGUGGCGAGACCAACGACGAAUUUGACGGUGGAACAGGUUGGUUUAUGAAUGGCUAUUCUUUGGGUAGAGAAAAAAAAGGUAAGAGGUUUAGACUUUAGAAAGAGGAAGAACAAGAACGAGAAAGCACAUAAUGAAAAUGAAAAGAGAAUGAAGAUGGUCAAAAUGGCAGCAUUUUGGACCUAGCAAAAAAAAAAAAAAAUCCACAUGGAAUUAAGCCUGACCUAACUCAUUCCUUUGGUUCAGACUUGAUUUUUAUUUCUAUUUUUUGAUUUUAUUUUCUAUUUUUUAUUUUGUUGUUUAUUUUAUUUUAUUUUCUAUUUUUAUUAAUUGUGAAUAAAUUAAAAGUAACGAGAAAAGAAAUAGAAAGAAACUUUUGUAGGAUUUUUUUAUGAUUUUAUUUGCAUGUUUUUUAUGAUAUUUAUUUGGAUGAUUUAUUGUGAUACUUUUGCAUGAUUUAUUAUUACAUUUUCGUAUGAUGUUUUUUAUAAUAUUUAUUUGCAUCAUUUAUUACUAUAUUUUAG
rnacentral:lncRNA from 1 species